rnacentral:rRNA from 1 species
UACGAAGGGGGCUAGCGUUGCUCGGAAUCACUGGGCGUAAAGCGCACGUAGGCGGAUCUUUAAGUCAGGGGUGAAAUCCUGGAGCUCAACUCCAGAACUGCCUUUGAUACUGGGGAUCUCGAGUCCGGGAGAGGUGAGUGGAACUGCGAGUGUAGAGGUGAAAUUCGUAGAUAUCGAGAGGAACACCGGUGGCGAAGGCGGCCAACUGGACGAAUACUGACGCUGAGACACGAAAGCGUGGGGAGCAAACAGG